GGGGAAUAUUGCGCAAUGGGGGAAACCCGGACGCAGCAACGCGGCGGGAAGGAGGAAGGUUUUCGGACCGUAAACUCCUUUGUUGAGGGACGAAAGAAAUGAGGUUACUUCAAAAACAAGCCAGGGCUACCUAGGUGCCAGCAGCCGCGGUAAUACGUAGGUGGCGAGCGUUGUCCGGAAUUACUGGGUGUAAAGGGCGUGUAGGCGGGAAUGCAAGUCAGAUGUGAAAUACCGUGGCUUAACCACGGAGCUGCAUCUGAAACUGUGUUUCUUGAGUGUCGGAGAGGAAAGUGGAAUUCCCAGUGUAGCGGUGAAAUGCGUAGAUAUUGGGAGGAACACCAGUGGCGAAGGCGACUUUCUGGACGAUAACUGACGCUGAGGCACGAAAGCGUGGGGAGCAAACA
rnacentral:rRNA from 2 species